rnacentral:rRNA from 1 species
GCGCACGGGUGAGUAACACGUAGAUAAUCUACCUUCAAGCCCGGGAUAACUAUCCGAAAGGAUAGCUAAUACCGGAUGAAGUGGUUUAACACAAGUUAAGUCAUGAAAGAUUGCCUCUUCCUGAAAGCAAUUGUUUGGAGAUGAGUUUGCGGACCAUUAGUUAGUUGGUGGGGUAAAGGCCUACCAAGACAACGAUGGUUAGCUGGUCUGAGAGGAUGAUCAGCCACACUGGAACUGGUACACGGUCCAGACUCC